rnacentral:rRNA from 1 species
GACGGAAGGUGCAAGCGUUGUCCGGAAUUACUGGGCGUAAAGCGUGCGCAGGCGGUUUUGUAAGUCAGAUGUGAAAUCCCCGGGCUUAACCUGGGAAUGGCAUUUGGGACUGCAAGGCUCGAGUGCGGCAGAGGAGACUGGAAUUCCUGGUGUAGCAGUGAAAUGCGUAGAUAUCAGGAGGAACACCGAUGGCGAAGGCAGGUCUCUGGGCUGACACUGACGCUCAUGCACGAAAGCGUGGGGAGCAAACAGG